rnacentral:rRNA from 1 species
AGAGUUUGAUCCUGGCUCAGGAUGAACGCUGGCGGCGUGCCUAAUACAUGCAAGUCGAGCGAACGGACGAGAAGCUUGCUUCUCUGAUGUUAGCGGCGGACGGGUGAGUAACACGUGGAUAACCUACCUAUAAGACUGGGAUAACUUCGGGAAACCGGAGCUAAUACCGGAUAAUAUUUUGAACCGCAUGGUUCAAAAGUAAAAGACGGUCUUGCUGUCACUUAUAGAUGGAUCCGCGCUGCAUUAGCUAGUUGGUAAGGUAACGGCUUACCAAGGCAACGAUGCAUAGCCGACCUGAGAGGGUGAUCGGCCACACUGGAACUGAGACACGGUCCAGACUCCUACGGGAGGCAGCAGUAGGGAAUCUUCCGCAAUGGGCGAAAGCCUGACGGAGCAACGCCGCGUGAGUGAUGAAGGUCUUCGGAUCGUAAAACUCUGUUAUUAGGGAAGAACAUAUGUGUAAGUAACUGUGCACAUCUUGACGGUACCUAAUCAGAAAGCCACGGCUAACUACGUGCCAGCAGCCGCGGUAAUACGUAGGUGGCAAGCGUUAUCCGGAAUUAUUGGGCGUAAAGCGCGCGUAGGCGGUUUUUUAAGUCUGAUGUGAAAGCCCACGGCUCAACCGUGGAGGGUCAUUGGAAACUGGAAAACUUGAGUGCAGAAGAGGAAAGUGGAAUUCCAUGUGUAGCGGUGAAAUGCGCAGAGAUAUGGAGGAACACCAGUGGCGAAGGCGACUUUCUGGUCUGUAACUGACGCUGAUGUGCGAAAGCGUGGGGAUCAAACAGGAUUAGAUACCCUGGUAGUCCACGCCGUAAACGAUGAGUGCUAAGUGUUAGGGGGUUUCCGCCCCUUAGUGCUGCAGCUAACGCAUUAAGCACUCCGCCUGGGGAGUACGACCGCAAGGUUGAAACUCAAAGGAAUUGACGGGGACCCGCACAAGCGGUGGAGCAUGUGGUUUAAUUCGAAGCAACGCGAAGAACCUUACCAAAUCUUGACAUCCUUUGACAACUCUAGAGAUAGAGCCUUCCCCUUCGGGGGACAAAGUGACAGGUGGUGCAUGGUUGUCGUCAGCUCGUGUCGUGAGAUGUUGGGUUAAGUCCCGCAACGAGCGCAACCCUUAAGCUUAGUUGCCAUCAUUAAGUUGGGC